rnacentral:rRNA from 1 species
UGGUGGGUAGUUUGACUGGGGCGGUCUCCUCCCAAAGAGUAACGGAGGAGCACGAAGGUUAGCUAAUCCUGGUCGGACAUCAGGAGGUUAGUGCAAUGGCAUAAGCUAGCUUGACUGCGAGAGUGACGGCUCGAGCAGGUGCGAAAGCAGGUCAUAGUGAUCCGGUGGUUCUGAAUGGAAGGGCCAUCGCUCAACGGAUAAAAGGUACUCCGGGGAUAACAGGCUGAUACCGCCCAAGAGUUCAUAUCGACGGCGGUGUUUGGCACCUCGAUGUCGGCUCAUCACAUCCUGGGGCUGAAGUAGGUCCCAAGGGUAUGGCUGUUCGCCAUUUAAAGUGGUACGCGAGCUGGGUUUAGAACGUCGUGAGACAGUUCGGUCCCUAUCUGCCGUGGGCGCUGGAGAAUUGAGGGGGGCUGCUCCUAGUACGAGAGGACCGGAGUGGACGCAUCACUGGUGUUCGGGUUGUCAUGCCAAUGGCACUGCCCGGUAGCUAAAUGCGGAAAAGAUAAGUGCUGAAAGCAUCUAAGCACGAAACUUGCCCCGAGAUGAGUUCUCCCUGACCCUUUAAGG